rnacentral:lncRNA from 1 species
CCAGUGAAAACCCGUGAAAACCAGUAUGGGCCAGUACAGACCAGUAAGGACCAGUAUAAACCAGUAUGGCCCAGUGGAGAUAAGCACAAACCAGUUCAGACCAGUUCAAACCAGUUCAGACCAGUUCAGAGUCUGGACCAGUCCGUCCCAGUUUGCCCCAGUUCCCUCCCAGUUCCCUCCCAGUUCCCUCCCAGUCCCCCCCACAGACGAGUCCCGAACUCUCCAAUUUUGGGAAAAUCCAAACUUUUAUUUUUUCUCCCCCAGAACCCUGGGAAAGAGCGCCGGGAAUUUGGGAUCAUCCCAAAAUUUGGGAUCCCCCCGCCAAAAACGGAGAAUUCCCAGAAAAUCUCGGAUUUAACCCCCCCAAAAAAUCGGGAAUUUCCACAAAAUUUGGGAUUCUCCUCCCCCAAAAAUGGGAAUUCCAAAGAAAUUUGGGGUUCCCCCGUAGAAUUGGGAUUUCACGGAAAAUUCUGGAUUUUUUUUCCAUCCCCAAAAAAUGGGAAUUCUCAGGAAAUUUGGGGAUUUUUCCUGACCAAAAUAAAAAAUUCCCAGAAAAUUUGGGACAUCCCUCAGAAAAUUUAGGACUUUUCCCUCCCAAAAAAAAAAAGAGAAUUCACAGGAAAUUUGGGAUUUCCUCCAGGAAAUUCGGGAUUUCCCUCCCAAAAAUCGGGAAUUCCCACAGAUUUUUGGGAUUCUCCUCCCCUCAAAAAUUGGCAAUUUCCAGGAAAUUUGGGAUCUCCCUCAGGAAAUCUGGGAUUCCACCCAAAAUUCGGGAAUUUGGGGUCUCACCCCAAGGAAUUUUGGGAGCCCCAAAAUUGGGAAUUUCCCCCUCCCCCCUCACCCUGCCCGUCCCAGUAACCCCAGUGGCACCAGGAGGGGGUUCAGGGGGGGGCACUGGGCGGGCUCGGGGCUCUGGGGGGGCCCCCCCGGGCUUUGGGGGGCGCUCAGGGACCCCCAGAGACCCCGCAGGUGCCGCUGGAGCCCCCCCAGCGCUCCCAGCGCUCCCAGUUCGGCCGGCAGCGCUCCCAGUAAGGACAGAACCACCGCGGACUCUGUGGGGGGGAAAAACGGGGUCAGGACCCCCUAAAUGG